CAGAACUUCCGUGUUCUGUUCCAGAAGUAACAAAACUAACUGCCCAAGUCACACUGGUCAAACAAACCUACCAGUUCAAAUAGUUGACUUAAAAAAUGACCUCAAAAUGAAGAGCGAAGAGGAUAUCUACUGUAAUUUAGAGACACUCCUUGUAUUAUUGUGUUUAAUAAUGGCAUCUCCAAACACGCAAGAAAUAUUGGAAAUAUCAGAAGAAAAUCUGGAGCCAGUAGUGUUAUUAGGAGACAACACAAGGGAGCUUUUCAUCUUUGUCAUGAACUGGAAAAUGAAGUCAGAUCUAGUUUUGUAAUCUUCUCUCAAUUUGCACCAGAGCAGAGAAAAGGUUACAGCACUUAUAAGACAUCAAAAUACUAAUUUACAAGGACCGCAUCUCUCCAGGGGAGCGACUGAUGGUCACUUUGAGGUUUUUGGCAACAGAUGGGUGUUGCGACAAUAAGAAGCAUUAUUCCAUAAACCUGUGAAACCAGUACCUGACCAGUACCUGACGUUAGGUCCCUCCUCAGUCUGCCUGCACUAAACCUCCACAUCAGGCGUAUUGUACCAAAGAGAUGCUGCUUAUCAGUGAAACAAUGUAAACUUUAAACCUUUAAACAUUCAAACCACCGGGACAUGUUUCUGAUUGUUGUCACUGAUAAAUAUGUUACAUAAUAAUAUUUACAACUAAUAAAAAUGUUGAUGAAUUG